UUAUGUGACAGAUUAAUAAAUAAAUAGAGUUGAUUGAAAAUAAUUUUACACAAAAUGAAUAACGAGGAUUUAUGAUUAAAAUCUUAAAUAUGUCAAUAAACAGGAAAAAAGAGAUUUAUAUACACAAGUUAAUUUAUAUCUGUUUAAAAAGAACAUUUUGUUACUGCAAGUGUGGCAAAUGUGCCUUUCUCAAAGUGUACAAGAUUCGGGUGACAUGAGGAGUUCACGUGAUGUAACGUAGCGUAACCAAUCAGACGCCGUCAAGGUGUACGUGCUGCCGUGUUUUUGUUUUUUUUUCUCUCUCCACCGGGCGUCAUCGAGGUGGCUGCUUGCUAACCUUUUGCUGCAGAUAUUACUGGUUGUGUGAGAAAGCCAGAUAUUCCAACGUAUCAGUUAUGUUUAUCGUCGGCGCAGAGAGUGAAGUUUUUUUUGCCGUGGGUUGAUUAGCGGACCGUGUGUUUUGUGACAGAAACGAAGGAGAACUGGAACCUGGACUGAUGAGAGCUGUGUAUUCUGCCUUGUGCCCGGAGUGUGUGUGUGUAUGUGAUGCUUGAUCCUCUGGCUGGGUCUUUUUCUUUCUUGUAUGGAUUCCUGGGUUGAGAUCUGCAUGAAGAUUUUUUCUUCUUCUGCUGGGAUCCCUCCCAUCCUGUAAAGGUAGAGGGGAACCUCAGUGGUAGUGGCGAGCCACCCAAAACAGAGACUGAUUUAUUCAGUGACGGGAUUUAUUGAGAACUGUAGUUGAUAUGUCAUGUGUUUGCUGACAAUUAAAUUAUUUUUUUUACUAUUUAUUCUAAAUUUUAUUUCUUUAUUCAACAUAAUAUAACACACUUAAAACUUACCUGUUGGUUGUGUGAAUUCUUUACCCUGUCACUCAAUGCCCAUUGCUAAUACCCCUUUCUCCUAUAGCGAUCUAGACUUCUGAUUUCCUGGUCCACGAUUUAAUUAAUGCACUGAUAAAAUAAACAUAUCUGUAUCUCCCAGUCUUUGCCAUCAACAGUUAGAGCUGAGGCAGGUUACACCAGCCAAUCAGGAGCCGUGUCACACUCAGCCAGCCAAUCAGGAGAUGUGUAACACUCAGCCAGCCAAUCAGGAGAUGUGUCACACUCAGCCAGCCAAUCAGGACUAAUGUAACAGUCAGCCAGCCAAUGCGCAGGCUUGUAACACUCAGCCAGCCAAUGCGCAGGCUUGUAACACUCAGCCAGCAAAUCAGGAGGCGUGUCACACUCAGCUAGCCAAUGAGGAGGCUUGUAACACUCAGUCAGCCAAUCAGGAGUUGUGUAACAUUCAGGAAGCCAAUCAGGAGGUGUGUCACACUCAGGCAGCCAAUCAGGAGGCAUAUGCCCCUCAGUCAACAAAUCAGGAACACUUUUACACUUAGCCAGGCAAUAAAGCCAGCAAAUCAAGAGCCGUGUAACACUCAGCCAGCCAAUAAGGAGGCGUGUCACACUAAUGCAGCCAAUCAGGAAGCAUGUAACGCUCAGCCAGCAAAUCAGGAGGUGUGUAACACUCAGCCAGCCAAUCAGGAGGUAUGUAACAGUCAGCCAGCCAAUCAGGAGGUAUGUAACAGUCAGCCAGCCAGUGAGCAGGCAUGUAACACUGAGCCAGCAAAUCAGGAGGCGUGUCACACUAAGCUAGCCAAUCAGAAGGCUUGUAACACUCAGCCAGCCAAUAAGGAGGCGUGUCACACUCAGCCAGCGAAUCAGGAGGCGUGUAACACUCAGCCAGCCAAUCAGGAGGCAUGUAACACUCAGCCUGCCAAUAAGGUGGUGUGUCACACUCAGCCAGCCAAUCAGGAGGCGUGUAACACUCAGGCCGCCAAUCAGGAGGCGUGUAACACUCAGCCACCAAUCAGGAGGCGUGUAACACUCAGCCAGCCAAUCAGGAGGCGUGUAACACUCAGCUAGCCAAUCAGGAGGCGUGUAACACUCAGCUAGCCAAUCAGGAGGCGUGUAACACUCAGGCAGCGAAUAAUGAGGCGUGUCACACUCAGGCAGCCAUAGGAGGGGUGUAACACUCAGGUAGCCAAUCAGGAAGCCUUUGACACUCAGCCAGCCAAUCAGAACGUGUGUAACACUCAGCCAGCCAAUCAGGAGGCGUGUAACACUCAGCUACCAAUCAGGAGGCGUGUAACACUCAGCCAGCCAAUCAGAAGGCGUGUAACACCAGCUAGCCAAUCAGGAGGCAUGUAACACUCAGACAGCCAAUCGGGGCCGUGUAACACUCAGCCAGCCAAUCAAGAGUCGUGUCACACUCAGGCAGCCAAUCAGGACGCGUGUAACACUCAGGCUGCCAAUCAGGAGGCGUGUAACACUCAGCUACCAAUCAGGAGGCGUGUAACACUCAGCCAGCCAAUCAGGAGGCGUGUAACACUCAGCCAGCCAAUCAGGAGGCGUGUAACACUCAGCCAGCCAAUCAGGAGGCGUGUAACACUCAGCCAGCCAAUCAGGAGGCGUGUAACACUCAGCCAGCCAAUCAGGAGGCGUGUAACACUCAGCUAGCCAAUCAGGAUGCGUGUAACACUCAGACAGCCAAUCAGGGGGCGUGUAACACUCAGCCAGCCAAUCAGGAGGCGUGUAACACUCAGACAGCCAAUCAGGGGGCGUUGAACACUCAGCCAGCCAAUCAGGAGGCGUGUAACACUCAGCUAGCCAAUCAGGAGGCGUGUCACACUCAGGCAGCCAAUUAGGAGGGGUGUAACACUCACGUAGCCAAUCAGGAAGCCUUUGACAUUCAGCCAGCCAAUCAGGAGACGUUUAACCCUCAGCCAGCCAAUAAGGAGGCGUGUCACACUCUGCCCACCAAUCAGGAGGCAUGUAACACUUAGCCAGCCAAUAAGGAGGCGUGUAACACUCAGGCAGCCAAUCAGGAGGCGUGUUACACUCAGGCAGCAAAUAAGGAGGCGUGUCACAC